GACAAGAUCUUGCUAUCUAGCCCAGCCUGAUCAUCGAUUCCAUGAUCCUCCUGAAUCAGCCUCCCAAACGCUGAGAUUACGGUCGUGAGGCUACACCAUGCUGGCCUUGGUGUUGUGAUUUGGGGAAAGUACUUACUUUCCCUGAGCCUCCCUUUUACAUACUGGAGUCUCCUUAGUGUUAAAUUACACAUGAUUUUGAGAAGUGUAAUUCUGGAAGUUUCCUGCAUUGCAGCAGAUUAUAUGAGAAUAAGGAAGGCGGGAUUGGGGAUACAGGAAGUGUCAAAAUGACAGCGGUGUAAAAGGACUGUUGACAGCUCAGGAUAGGACAAAUAAGAAAUGAAGUGAGACAGGUAUGUAAGAGGAAGGAAUUUUAUUUCACAAAUAAUUUAUUGUCUUCACGCAACCCUCCGCUUCAUGGUCAUCAGCGCAGCACAGGGUGGCCAUGAGAUGCUUCUAGCAAGAUGAGGAAGGGAAUUGAUAAACCCACAUGUGAUUUAAAUUUCCCCAAGAGAGAGUGACUGAAUGAAUUUGGACGAUCUGAAUAUGAUAUUCAGAUGAGGAGGGGCUCAGACUGUUGACAUUUGGACCUAAGGCUGGAUUCUGUUCCCAUCGCCUAUGAGCUAUAAAACUUCAGAUCUUGUUUUCUUCUUGGUAAAACCCAACUAAGUGUUGGGACCACAGACAGGAACAAAUGGUGAGUGAGGAGGUGACGGGUCACAAGAUCAGAAUGCUUGGAAGGUUCCUGAUCUGAUGUCAUAACUCUGAUUGGCCACUGCUCUGAUAGGGUGACCAUCAGGGAAAUGCUGACCUCUGUGCUUGUAGAUCUGGCAAGAGACCUCAGAAGUGGUGAAGGAGAGAACAUGUGGGGUGCUUCAUAGACAAUGUAGAAAAGGCUGGAAGGCUUAGUAUGGUUGUGAGCACUCAUCUCACUCUCAAGAAACCUCCACUGUCCUUUCUGUAGAGAAGCAUGCGCUGACACAAGCUUCCUGUUGAGGACCAUCAUCCUUUACACAGGCCUUCUGUGAAUGGUCGUCUAAUGAUGAAUGAGUGAAUGAGCCUCCUGACAAGGUGAGGAAGACAGCACUGCCAACUGGACAAUGGAGCAUUUCUCCCACCGGAAGCUUAGCAGGCAAUCUGUCUCACAAAGGGCAUAUAUUUUGGAUAAUGAAGGGUCACUGAGAGCUCUAUCUAAGGCACAAAAGAGCAGGAUGAAAGAAGAUGCUGACUGACAGGCAUAAGCCUUCAGUGAGACCAGGAGAGCGAGUGGAAAAGAUGAUCCACUGACUAUCAAGUGCAGAGGACUGGCGAGUUUAUUGGGAGAGUUAAAGAGCAGAUCCCGGACGUACCCUAUGAAACUACAGGAGAGAGAUUGUUUAUUUGCAAACUGCCUGAGAGCGACUUUGGGCAGCAUGAAGACAAGACCCUCUUUCAGCAGAUGUUUGUGGAGCUCUCUGUGAAGGCCUGUACUUGGGCUCUCAAGGAGGCAGGGGAAGGUCAGCUGAGAAUAUGGGAAAGUGGAGGAGGAGAAGGAUGCCAGGGUUAGGACUACAAGAGGACAACAACCAAAAGGUUUGGAAAUUAGCAUGAGAUCAGGUGUCUAAUGCAUAAAAGAAAUCAUCUCCUGUAGGACACAAACCACAGUGAGGCAGGGGCUCAGUAUUUUCUCUGGUUGGACCCUGUAAUGGAAGGUCACAACUGAAACACCCCAAUGUUAAUAGCCUCGUGACACUGACUGCCUCUACGAGUCAGCACUUUCUAAGGAAAUUGACUUUGAUUUGUCUCACUCCACCUCACAGCUGUGGAAGCAAUGAGGAUUUACAUACCUUUCCCAUGCUGAUCUGGUAUUCCAUCAUGGUUGUCUGAUCCCAGAGCCUGAGCUCUUACCCACUGUACUAUACUCUUCCUGAGACACUUAAUACUUUGACCAAAGGCCAUUUUUUCUCAGGGCCCUUUAUAAACACAAGCCUGAGAUCUAUAGGUGUGUCGAAAUGGGAGCAUCUGAUAUAGUGGCCCCAGGGUUCUCUAUCAGACACUGGUGCUCCACUUAAGCCUCUAAAUCUGAGAAGAGUCUGAAGUUGGCUCCAGAGGGAGUGUGGAGAUGAUGGAUGGGUUUUUAAGAGGGGAAAUGAAGGAUGGUUGUAGGAACUGCUUGCUGUGAAGAAAAAGAGGAAGUUGAACUUCUGGGGGCGCAAACUGAAGCUUAUAUGAAAUGGAUAAAAUCUUAUGCUCUUGACAAAAGAAAAAAACAGCCUAAAAACUCCUAAUGUGAUAUCACAUCCCAUGAAGGUACAGUAGGCUGAAGAAGAUGAACUUAGGAAAAGACGAGGGAAAAGAUGUCCCUCUUUAGGGUGGGCAAGAAGUGGUCAAGCAAAACGUCUUCAUGGACUGCAUGCUUCCUACAUAACCAAGUCUGGACACUAUGGCAUGGGUGAACACAGGGGCGAAGCCUCUUCUUAGGGAGAAGUUGGCCUAGUGAGUUGUUGCACUUUUGAAUAAAACAGAUUCUAGAAUAUGAUGCAUUGGUUUCAGAAGUGAAGUCUGGAGGUCUUCUGCCAGUCUCCUCACAUGUGACUGACUGUAAAACAUUUGCGAUGUGACUAGAAAAUUUGAACUAAAUACUAGUUGCCAAGUACUUAGUAUAACGGAGUAAACUAAGAAAGCUGUCUUUUCUCUAGCAUCUACAUUUUUGGCAUUGUUGUCAAAAUUCAGGUAAUCGGAGCUAUGUAGGUUCAUAUCUGAAUCUCUUACUGCGUUCUAUUGAUCUCUCUGGGUUCAUGCUUGUACCAGUUGUACUGUUGGGAAAGUUGAGUCUCUAUUUGUAGAAGAAGGAAACUAGACUCCCUUCUUUUACCCAGCCCAGAAAUCAACUCCAAGUGCAUCAGAGACUUAGUGCAAUUCCUGAAAACCCUGAGACUGUUAAAAGAAAAUUAGGAAAACCUUUCCAGAUAUAGGCAGAGGUGAGGAGGGCUUUCUGAAUAGGUCUUUAGCCCUUAGGAAACAAUUGACAAAGGCCACAUGACGAAGUUUAAAAGCUUCUGUACAGCACGGGAAAUGGCGUUAGACUAAAGAGAAAGCCUACAGAAUUGGGGGAAAAUCUUUGUUAGCUAUUCAUCUCACAGACAUUUCAAACCAAGAAUAUGCAGUGAACUCAGGAAUUUAAAUAUUAAGAAAACAAACAAGUCAAUAAAAAUGGGUUAAUAAAAUGUUUGGGCAGUCCUUAAAAGAAUAAAAACAAAUUAAACUACUUUGAGAUUGUAUCUUGUCCCAGAGAUAAUGUCUCUCAUCUAUAAAACAGCAGCUAUGGUAGCCUGCACAAGACCUGCACAAGAUCAAGCUAGUCAGUGAUUUAGUGUGGGGGUGUGCAUGUGCCCAGAUUCAGAAGCUCGCUUCUAACUGAGAAACUAUUGAUAACUGA
rnacentral:sRNA from 1 species